AGUAGGAUAAGCUAAGACAAGCUGUUGGGCUCAUAACCCAAAAAUAGAUAACCCUCUUCCUACUA
rnacentral:tRNA from 1 species